UAUAUAUAUAUCUUUGAACAUGUUAUUCAUUCAUAACAUGUUCAAAGAUAUAUCAAGAUAUAUUCAAUAGUAUCAUUAUCAUAUUUAGUAUUAAUAUUUUCAUCCAUUUCUAGAUAUAGAUGUCUUCUCCUUUUGUUUCUAUAUGUAUCUGUCUUGUACUAGUUGCAUCCAUUGGGGGCUAAUUACUUUUCUGAUACCAUAUCUCCAACAUUUCUAUUAUCAGCCAGGCUGUUACAAAACCGAACCUAAUAAUAAAAUUAUAGAAGGGCAACUAAGACAAAGGAACGAACUGUAUAGCCAUCCUGUUACACUCACAAAAUGCACACAAAAAACAAAGCUCCAAACAGGAU
rnacentral:lncRNA from 1 species